rnacentral:rRNA from 2 species
AGAGUUUGAUUCCUGGCUCAGGAUGAACGCUGGCGGCGUGCUUAACACAUGCAAGUCGAACGGUGAAGCCCAGCUUGCUGGGUGGAUCAGUGGCGAACGGGUGAGUAACACGUGAGCAAUCUGCCCCUGACUCUGGGAUAAGCGCUGGAAACGGCGUCUAAUACUGGAUAUGAACCGUGGAGGCAUCUUCAACGGUUGGAAAGAUUUUUUGGUCAGGGAUGAGCUCGCGGCCUAUCAGCUUGUUGGUGAGGUAAUGGCUCACCAAGGCGUCGACGGGUAGCCGGCCUGAGAGGGUGACCGGCCACACUGGGACUGAGACACGGCCCAGACUCCUACGGGAGGCAGCAGUGGGGAAUAUUGCACAAUGGGCGCAAGCCUGAUGCAGCAACGCCGCGUGAGGGAUGACGGCCUUCGGGUUGUAAACCUCUUUUAGCAGGGAAGAAGCGAAAGUGACG